UUACUCUUCUCUUCUUAAACUUUAAUUGUAUAUGUGCUAAACCAUUUGUUAUUUUCCUACAGGAACCAAAGGCUCUAUUCACAUUUUCAGUCUAUUCAUGAGAUUGCAUUCUUUAUAUCCAUAUAUCUUCAAGAUGACUGUCUCGUGUCCUUGUAAUCUGACUCUGCUGGUACAACUUCUUGCAGUUUCUGUGGCUCUCUCCUCAUGAAAGGAAACUUAAAAGAGGCAAAUUUGGACCAAUUGCAAUCCUCAUCAGCUCAUUUGAUCUCUGGAACAUAAAAGACCCAUAAUACAGAACAAUGUAAAGGUCUCAACUUCACACCAUGACUGAAUGACAGCACCCAUCAACCCAGAAUUUUGCCUUAGAAUUUGUGCCUCAGUUGUGCCCUCAGAAACCAUUCAAAUGCUUCACUGUUAAAAUGUGUUUAGAUUUUUCCUCUUAUUACUGGUUCUCGG
rnacentral:lncRNA from 1 species